GAUGAACGCUAGCGGCAGGCUUAACACAUGCAAGUCGAGGGGUAUGGUUCUUCGGAACCAGAGACCGGCGCACGGGUGCGUAACGCGUAUGCAAUCUACCUUUCACAGAGGGAUAGCCCAGAGAAAUUUGGAUUAAUACCUCAUAGUAUGUAUGAAUGGCAUCAUUUAUACAUUAAAGUCACAACGGUGAAAGAUGAGCAUGCGUCCCAUUAGCUAGUUGGUAUGGUAACGGCAUACCAAGGCUACGAUGGGUAGGGGUCCUGAGAGGGAGAUCCCCCACACUGGUACUGAGACACGGACCAGACUCCUACGGGAGGCAGCAGUGAGGAAUAUUGGUCAAUGGGCGCAAGCCUGAACCAGCCAUGCCGCGUGCAGGAUGACGGUCCUAUGGAUUGUAAACUGCUUUUGUACGGGAAGAAACACUCCUACGUGUAGGAACUUGACGGUACCGUAAGAAUAAGGAUCGGCUAACUCCGUGCCAGCCGCCGCUGUAAGAC
rnacentral:rRNA from 1 species